rnacentral:rRNA from 1 species
CCUACGGGUGGCAGCAGUGGGGAAUAUUGGGCAAUGGAGGCAACUCUGACCCAGCAACGCCGCGUGAAUGAUGAAGGUCUUCGGAUUGUAAAGUUCUUUUCUAAGGGAAGAAGAAAGUGACGGUAACUUCGGAAUAAGUCUCGGCUAACUACGUGCCAGGCACCGCGGUAAUACGUAGGAGGCAAGCGUUAUCCGGAAUGACUGGGCGUACAGGGUGCGUAGGUGGUUUGACAAGUUAGUAGCGAAACUCCGGAGCUCAACUUCGGAACUGCAACUAAAACUGUUAGGCUUGAGUGCAGGAGAGGCAAGCGGAAUUCCUGGUGUAGCGGUGAAAUGCGUAGAGAUUAGGAGGAACACCGGUGGCGAAGGCGGAUUGCUAGACUGUAACUGACACUGAGGUACGAAAGCGUGGGGAGCAAACAGGAUUAGAUACCCGGGUAGUC